GUCACCUCCAGCCAGUCAACGCUUUCCAGGGUCAUAGUUUGUUUGAAAGAGCAAAAAGAACUGCAAGAAGCAUAUUGACAUUGUGUAAAUGAGAGCUGAACAUCAAGGAGUAUACAGUUAAUGAACAAAAGAUCAUUGCUUAGUGUCUAACUGCAGCAUUAAGGCUUGGUAUUGAAUUCACUGAAAAGGUGAUGUGACAGAGGACAAACGGGACAAACAGGACUCUCAGACUACUUAGAUUCCGGAAAUUUCCAGAGCAAAAUCAAAUCAGGAGUUUAAUGGAACCUGCCUCAAGACAGCACUUCACUCUGCAUUACACACUGCCGUAAGUCAUUUAAACAUGGUUCAGUCUACAAACAUUUAUUGACUGCCGUUUGUGUGCCUGUCAUUGUGCUAUAAUGCUAAGAACGUGGAAAAGAUAUUCCAGACCUCAAAGAUAUGCAGAGCUACAAUCCAGUGGCGAACCCAGCCAAGCAAUCAAUCCCAUUUUAUUACCGUUGUAAGGGAAUAUGCUGGACACAGUGGGAGUAACGAGGAAGAAUACACAACCCAAUCUGAAGCGGGGCAGGGAGGGCUUGUCGCAGAGGCUGGCACCUCCACUGUCCUUGGUGGCUAAGAUGAAGUAAGGUAGUCUGAGAAGAUGAAAAGUUUUGUUGUUGUUGUUCAUUUGUUCUGAGGUAAUAGCAACCGCAUGAACAGAAAGAU
rnacentral:lncRNA from 1 species